ACAGGGAUACUGGAGUGAUGGAGGUAGAUAUGUAUAGGGGUAAGGAGACAGGGAUACUGGAGUGAUGGAGGUAGAUAUGUAUAGGGGGAAGGAGACAGGGAUACUGGAGUGAUGGAGGUAGAUAUGUAUAGGGAGAAGGAGACAGGGAUACUGGAGUGAUGGAGGUAGAUAUGUAUAGGGAGAAGGAGACAGGGAUACUGGAGUGAUGGAGGUAGAUAUGUAUAGGGAGAAGGAGACAGGGAUACUGGAGUGAUGGAGGUAGAUAUGUAUAGGGAGAAGGAGACAGGGAUACUGGAGUGAUGGAGGUAGAUAUGUAUAGGGAGAAGGAGACAGGGAUACUGGAGUGAUGGAGGUAGAUAUGUAUAGGGAGAAGGAGACAGGGAUACUGGAGUGAUGGAGGUAGAUAUGUAUAGGGGGAAGGAGACAGGGAUACUGGAGUGAUGGAGGUAGAUAUGUAUAGGGAGAAGGAGACAGGGAUACUGGAGUGAUGGAGGUAGAUAUGUAUAGGGAGAAGGAGACAGGGAUACUGGAGUGAUGGAGGUAGAUAUGUAUAGGGAGAAGGAGACAGGGAUACUGGAGUGAUGGAGGUAGAUAUGUAUAGGGAGAAGGAGACAGGGAUACUGGAGUGAUGGAGGUAGAUAUGUAUAGGGGGAAGGAGACAGGGAUACUGGAGUGAUGGAGGUAGAUAUGUAUAGGGGGAAGGAGACAGGGAUACUGGAGUGAUGGAGGUAGAUAUGUAUAGGGGGAAGGAGACAGGGAUACUGGAGUGAUGGAGGUAGAUAUGUAUAGGGAGAAGGAGACAGGGAUACUGGAGUGAUGGAGGUAGAUAUGUAUAGGGAGAAGGAGACAGGGAUACUGGAGUGAUGGAGGUAGAUAUGUAUAGGGGGAAGGAGACAGGGAUACUGGAGUGAUGGAGGUAGAUAUGUAUAGGGAGAAGGAGACAGGGAUACUGGAGUGAUGGAGGUAGAUAUGUAUAGGGAGAAGGAGACAGGGAUACUGGAGUGAUGGAGGUAGAUAUGUAUAGGGAGAAGGAGACAGGGAUACUGGAGUGAUGGAGGUAGAUAUGUAUAGGGAGAAGGAGACAGGGAUACUGGAGUGAUGGAGGUAGAU